UACAGAGGGUGCUAGCGUUGUUCGGAAUCAUUGGGCGUAAAGCGCACGUAGGCGGCUUCUUAAGUCAGGGGUGAAAUCCUGGAGCUCAACUCCAGAACUGCCUUUGAUACUGAGGAGCUUGAGUCCGGGAGAGGUGAGUGGAACUGCGAGUGUAGAGGUGAAAUUCGUAGAUAUUCGCAAGAACACCAGUGGCGAAGGCGGCUCACUGGCCCGGUACUGACGCUGAGGUGCGAAAGCGUGGGGAGCAAACAGG
rnacentral:rRNA from 1 species